CCUACGGGGGGCAGCAGUGGGGGAUAUUGCACAAUGGAGGAAACUCUGAUGCAGCAAUGCCGCGUGAGGGAAGACGGUCUUCGGAUUGUAAACCUCUGUCCUUGGUGAAGAUAAUGACGGUAGCCAAGGAGGAAGCUCCGGCUAACUACGUGCCAGCAGCCGCGGUAAUACGUAGGGAGCAAGCGUUGUCCGGAUUUACUGGGUGUAAAGGGUGCGUAGGCGGCUUUUUAAGUCGGGCGUGAAAGCUGUGGGCUUAACCCACAAAUUGCGUUCGAAACUGGAAGGCUUGAGUGAAGUAGAGGUAGGCGGAAUUCCCGGUGUAGCGGUGAAAUGCGUAGAGAUCGGGAGGAACACCAGUGGCGAAGGCGGCCUACUGGGCUUUAACUGACGCUGAGGCACGAAAGCAUGGGUAGCAAACAGGAUUAGAUACCCUUGUAGUC
rnacentral:rRNA from 1 species